rnacentral:ncRNA from 1 species
UAUCAUUCGCCCGCCCCAGGUGACCCACCGCGCCAAAGCGCGGCAGGUUUAAACGGGAAUCCGGUGCGACACCACGAGGUGUCAAUCCCGGAGCUGCCCCCGCAACGGUAGGCGAGAGAAGGUCCGCAACACAGCCACUGUGCAGCUGCAUGCAUGGGAAGGCGCGGACUGGCAGGCGGAACCUUCCGCCCGCGCUCGCGAGCCCGGAUACCGGCCCGGAGCGGCGUGACAUG